rnacentral:tRNA from 1 species
GAGGGUAUAGCUCAGUGGUAGAGUAUGUGCCUAGCAUGCAUGAGGUCCUGGGUUCAAUCCCCAGUACCUCCA